rfam:Thermobacillus composti KWC4, complete genome.
UAGCUGGUGCAAGUCCAGCCGGGGUAAAGGCCAAGCUGCCCCGUAGCUAGCAGGCAACUUGGGGCGAGACCCGUGGGUUGAAGCCCUGCGAAAAGCAUGCCAGAAGCAUGUGAAGCAACUCCGCAGGCCGUAACAUGA